UACGAAGGGGGCUAGCGUUGUUCGGAAUUAUUGGGCGUAAAGCGCGCGCAGGCGGUCUUCCAAGUCAGUGGUGAAAGCCCGGAGCUCAACUCCGGAACUGCCAUUGAAACUGUAAGACUUGAGGACGAGAGAGGUGAGUGGAAUUCCCAGUGUAGAGGUGAAAUUCGUAGAUAUUGGGAAGAACACCGGUGGCGAAGGCGGCUCACUGGCUCGUUUCUGACGCUCAGGCGCGACAGCGUGGGGAUCAAACAGG
rnacentral:rRNA from 1 species